ACGUAUUUAAAAUAACCAUAGCUGACAUAUCAUUCAAAAUAAAAGUAUUUUUACCAUUUAAUCAACUACGGUUCUGGCCACAGUCCAUCACAACCGUUAUCAAACUAUAUACACAACUAACGAUCUAUACUGUACAUACAUCAAGACAACAAAAAUUGACUAAGGUCAUCUGCCUUCAGUCUCGCCCCACCUCGGUCUCAGUACUGAAAUGGUUACUACUACGACGUCUUAAGCAGCUAGGCUAUGUGAGUCAAUUAUCUAUACAAACAGUGCCCAUAAAUUAUAAAUCUCAAUUCAUUUCAACAUAAAAUAAUUUAAUUGCCAAUCCUUUUUAUUUCAAUCAUUGCCUCAUCUAGGCCCAUUUAUCUUGCUUCCUAUCAAGAUUCAAAACUAGAUUGAUUGACACUUGGAUACAGUACCCGUGCAACUACACCAGUAAUCAGGUAGCGACCUAACAUAAGUAUGGCAUAUAUCACCCAUAAUCAUCUGCAUGAUCCCACCUUAUACAUCACAUCUCGCUAUAUUCUUUUCUCCACGUCGGGCUCGUUCGACAUGUGUCGUCUAAAUCACAUUUUCACAGGUAAUCAUUUAAACAUUUCAUGGCACAUCUUAACAUAAAACAUAGCAUGCUUUUCAGUACAAUACCAGCACAUUUCAAUAAUUUCAAACAAUAAUCUUCAUCAUAAAUUCAUUUUCAGUAAUAAAAUAAACAACUCACCGAAGUAUGCCCAGAUUUUCCUACACACCGUAGCCUAUCUUUCUUCGAAUUCGGGUUCUACGUUUAAUAGUUAAAUCCUUAGAUUUUAAACUGUCUCAUAUCUCGAUAAUUACUAAAGUCAUAUGUUUUCAAGUUAAGAUAGAGUUUAAAUUUAAGAAUUUCGGAUUAUUUUUCUACAUAAUAUUCUGCAGUUAAUAUUUUUUACAAACAGCCACUCAGUAUAUUUUUGUAUAAAAUUAUUCAAAGUAAUUUGAAUCCCAAAUGUUUUACAUCUAACUAGACAUAAUACCUUAUCUACAGGAAAUAUUUUAUAAUGUAAUAAGCUACGUAACUAUUUUUUUGAAGUUUCGUAAUCUAUUUCAGAAUGUUCCCUGACAGUGCUUUGGGUUGGUAAUUAUUUUGAGCAUUUAAAACAUUUUCGAAUUUUAUGAAAUUAUAAAUAAUAACUAACCCAUAAAUAUCAUACCAUAUUACUUUUUAUAUUUUUAUACACCUGGAAGCUAUUAUAAAUACCAACAUUUUCUGUUCAAACUAUCUUUAUGUUUCAUUUCGUACGUCAUUUUAAAUGUGAUUAUAUACCAUUUAGAGUCUGAAGUGGAUCUAAUUUCUCAUAAAAAUUUGUAGAUAAUUUGAAUAUAUUUUUAAUCGACUCUUUAAUCAAGUAAUUCGAGAUUCUUAUAGAAAAAGUUAGGAUCAACUCGGCGACUGGUUCAUUGAUAAAUUAGGAUUUCCUAUGUAUUCGAAUUUUUAAUUUUAGACAGAUACAUAAAUCUAUUUUUCCGGGGUAACAGAAAUUGAAGUAUAAACCUUAAAUUAUAAGAAAAAACUAUAGAAAUAGAAGAAAUUUGAUUAUACCGUAAUAUUUUUCGUAUCGUGUUUAGUUCUUCUUUUGUUUCUCUUCUUCCUCCUCUUUCUCUAUUCCUUUUCCCUCUCUGUUUCUGCCUGUUUUCUUUCUUUCUCUUGUUGUGUUGUGAAGUCACUAACAGUGGACUUCUUUGGUCUUUAUACAGGGUACACCCACAGGCACACGCAUGGUCCACUUACUAAGACAGCUGUCUGCCAGCACCUCGCACACGCACACACGGGUACAACACACAUACACAGCUGCACACAUGCACUCAUGCAUGGUGACAUGUGUCACCAUGUGUUCUCCAUGUGUCGUGACCGCGUGUCCACAACGUGUCGUAUUAUCGUGUUUCUUUUUACUUGUACGUUUUUUACUGUAAAAAUAUUAAUUGGGUUUAAAAUAAAAUUUAUUCGGUUUACUAAUUUAAUAUUUGUGUUAGCCCUAUGCGGCAAUCCGAUUAUGUUGCAAAUAUUUUUGAUGAUAACAAAUUCUAUCUUAUUGCUCUCAUGUAUUUAAUUCAGUAUGAUAGUUGUAAAAAUAUUAAGACAUAUUCUCAAGGAGCAAAAAUCGAAGAUAUUGGACUGCAAAGUAAGAACACUUCAAAGCACUGAAAGAUCUCAAGAAUGAAGAACUUUCAUUAGGGUAUUUUGUAAAGCUCUUGUAUGGUUAAAUCUUGAGGCUUAAAAUGGACCCUAAUAUCCUUAAUGCAUUUUAAAAAUACAAAAAUGCAGUUAAAAUUAAAGUUCUUAAAAAUGUGCUAGCAAAUUCUUAUCUUUGAAAAGUUAAUUACAAUUUUGAAAAAUGGGUUAGUAAUAUUUUUGAUUUUGAAAUUUGGAUUUCAGUUAAAAAAUUGGCUAGCCAAAAUUAUGACUUUGAAAAUUGAUCUAAAUUUAAAAAAAUAUGUAGCACAACAAUUCUGACUUAAAAAUUUGAUUCCAAGUUUGAAAAAAUUGGUUAGCAACCAAUUUCUGGCACUUUGAAAAAUGUAGUUGCAACUUUUGAAAAAUUUGGGGAUAGCAACAAUUUCUGACUUGAAAAUGUGGUUGAAACUUAAAAAUUAGAAGAAAAAUUUAUGACUUUGAAACAGUAGUUGCAACUUUUGAAAAUUGGAUGCAACAAUUUGCUGACUUUGAAAAAUGUGAUUUCAAUUUGAAAAUGGCUAGCAAAUUUCAAAUGCCCUCCAACGGUUAUAUUCGUGUAAGGCUAUAAAUACAUAUCCUUAGCUCUCAUUUUAGGGAAUCAAGCAAGUGAGACAAACAAGUUUAGAAUGCAAAGCAUAUUUUUUUCAAUUUCCUUUGAGCCUUUCAGUUUGAUUCUCAAGGUUUAGUGAGAGAUAUCAUUGUAAAGCUUUAUUGUAUAUUCAUUUCCAAAAAGGAGAAUUGUCUUGUGAGAGAAAUCUCAAAUCGAUCAAGUAGUGGAUUAUAUAAAAAGGUGGUGUGACCCUGAGGGGUUGGUGUGACCCUGUGAGGUGUGAAGGGGUUUUCCACCUUGUGAGAAGAGUGUCGCUCUUGAUGUGUAAAGGUUGACUCCACCCGUAAGCAGUUUGGAUUAGUGGAUUGAAAAAUCUCAAGUGGUGUGCUUGGGAGUGGACGUAGGUCAGGAAGAUCGAACCACUAUCAAUCGCCGAGUUUGAAUCUCUUAGCGGAAACGUAUUUAAAAUAAACCAGAGUGACAUAUCAUUCAAAAUAUAAAAGUAUUUUACAUUUAUAUACAACUACGGUUCUGGCACAGUCCAGACAACCGUUAUCACAACUAUACAAAACUAACGAUCCUAUACGGUACAUACAUAAGGACAACAAAAAUUGACUAAGGUCAUCUGCCUUCGUCUCGCCCCACCUCGGUCUCAGUACCUGAAAUGGUUAGUACGACUACGUCUUAAGCACUAGGCUAGUGGGAGAAAUCAAGUUAUAUAAUACCAAAACAAGUGCCCAUGAAAUUAUAAAAAUAUCAAUUCAUUUUCAACAUACAAAUAAAUUUAAUUUGCCAAUCCUCUUUCAUUUCAAUAUGCCUCAUCUAGGGCCCAUUUAUCUUGAUUCUAUCAGAAUUCAAAACGUAUAUUAGAUUGCCACUGACGACAACAUUACCCGUUCAACGAACACCAGUAAGCAGGGAGCGACCCUAAAUAAAGUAUGGCAGAAUCACCCAUGAUAUCUGGAUAUGAUCCCACCUUAUGACAUCACAUCCUCGCUAUAUUCUUUAGCCUAGCGGUCGGGGCAUCGUUCGAACUAUGUUAAUUAUGUAUAAAUCACAUUUUCACAGGUAAUCAUUUAAACAUUUCAUGGCACAUAUAAAAUAAAAACAUAGCCAUGCAUUGUUUAUCCGUAACACAAUACCACACAUUCCAAAAUUCAAAACAAUACAUGCUUUCAGCAUAAAAUUCAUUUUCAGUAAGUUGAAAUAUAACAAGACUCACCGAAAGUAUGCCAGAUUUUCCGACACACCGUGAGCUACUUUCUUCGAAUUCGGGUCUACGUUUUAUAGUUAAAUCAUCUAGAUUAACUGUCUCGUAGCUAUAUAAAUAUACGAAAUUUAAUAAUUUUUGAAGUUAAGAUAUUAUUUUAAAUUUAUAUUCGGAUUAUUUUUCUACAUAAUAUUCUGCAGUUAAGUAUUUUUACAAACAGCCACUCAGUAUGAUAAUUUUGUAUAAAUUAUUCAAAAUAAUUUGAAAUCCCAAAUGUUUAUACAUACUAUACUAAGACUAUACCUUUAUCUACAGUAAAUAUUUUUAUAAUUUAAUAAGCUCCGUAACUAUUUUUUUUGAAGUUCGUUAAUCUAUUUCAGAAUGUUCACUGACAGUGCUUGGUUG
rnacentral:lncRNA from 1 species